AAUAAACGCUGGCGGCGUGCCUAACACAUGCAAGUCGGAUGUGCCGCAAGGUGCAUGGCAGACGGGUGAGUAACGCGUGGGGAAUCUACCUUUUUGUGGGGAAUAACGCUCCGAAAGGAAUGGUAAUACCGCAUGUGAUCACAGUUUGGGAUAGCUGUGAUGAAAGCUGGGGACCGCAAGGCCUAGCGCAAGAAGAGGAACCUGCGUCUGAUUAGCUAGUUGGCGGGGUAAUGGCCCACCAAGGCGACGAUCAGUAGCCGGCCUGAGAGGGUGAUCGGCCACACUGGAACUGAGACACGGUCCAGACUCCUACGGGAGGCAGCAGUGGGGAAUUUUGCGCAAUGGACGAAAGUCUGACGCAGCAACGCCGCGUGGGUGAUGAAGGUCUUCGGAUCGUAAAACCCUGUCGUCAGGGACGAAGGUAAUGUGCCUAAUACGCAUGUUGCUUGACGGUACCUGGAGAGGAAGCCCCGGCUAACUCUGUGCCAGCAGCCGCGGUAA
rnacentral:rRNA from 1 species